GACGUAGGGGGCAAGCGUUGUCCGGAAUCAUUGGGCGUAAAGCGCGCGCAGGCGGCUCGGUAAGUCGGUUGUGAAAACACGAGGCUCAACCUCGUGCCUGCAUCCGAUACUGCCGGGCUAGAGGCAGGUAGGGGAGAUCGGAAUUCCUGGUGUAGCGGUGAAAUGCGCAGAUAUCAGGAGGAACACCGGUGGCGAAGGCGGAUCUCUGGGCCUGUCCUGACGCUCAGGCGCGAAAGCUAGGGGAGCAAACAGG
rnacentral:misc_RNA from 1 species